rnacentral:rRNA from 1 species
CGCUUUCACUCCUACGGGAGGCAGCAGUGGGGAAUAUUGCACAAUGGGCGCAAGCCUGAUGCAGCCAUGCCGCGUGUAUGAAGAAGGCCUUCGGGUUGUAAAGUACUUUCAGCAGUGAGGAAGGUGGUAGUGUUAAUAGCACUAUCAUUUGACGUUAGCUGCAGAAGAAGCACCGGCUAACUCCGUGCCAGCAGCCGCGGUAAUACGGAGGGUGCGAGCGUUAAUCGGAAUUACUGGGCGUAAAGCGCAUGCAGGUGGUUUGUUAAGUCAGAUGUGAAAGCCCGGGGCUCAACCUCGGAAUUGCAUUUGAAACUGGCAGACUAGAGUACUGUAGAGGGGGUAGAAUUUCAGGUGUAGCGGUGAAAUGCGUAGAGAUCUGAAGGAAUACCGGUGGCGAAGGCGGCCCCCUGGACAGAUACUGACACUCAGAUGCGAAAGCGUGGGGAGCAAACAGGAUUAGAUACCCUGGUAG